UUGGGGUUGGGAGGCUCCGCGGCUGCGGGCCAGCCCGCCGGGUCUUGGGGGACACUCACUGGGGAGCCUGUGACUGAGCGGCUGCUGCGACAGCUGGGGCGGGGCGGCGGGCUGGCAGCUGGCUGCUGGCUGGGGCGCCACCGCUGUCGCCCCGACGGCCUCUCCUCCUCCAGCAGGCGAGCCUCAGGCUGCCCCAAUGGCGGCCGAGCUCCCAGAGCAGCAGAGGGAAGCCCAGUGCAGGGGUGCGUUUCAAGCUUCUGCCCGGGUGGUGUUUGUUCAUGUCCAGCUGUGCAAAGCAGGGGUCCAACUUUUUCCUGCACGGUGAUCAACACUUCUCAAAAGAUAGAACAGCUUGAGAGUUGGGUUUACCCAAGAGCUUCUCCUCCGUGAUUCAUUCUCUCAGAAAUCUAAAACUUCUCCAAAUUGCUACAGCAGAAGGCUGGCAGUGGAAUGCUGACUAAAACUGAAAUUACUUGGAAGAGAAUAAAUCUUUUCUGCCGAGAGAACUUAAGUAGAUGCCCUAUUUCACACACUAGCUUUGUAGGUAACUGCUUAAUAAGAAAAGGAAAGAAGACUUCAAAACUCUUACUCUGGAUGAACCCCACCUGAAAUCCUAGGCAGAGUUCAACUGUUGGGGUUCAGAAGUACCUACUACUCACACCCCUUUUCAACCCGCCAUAAUCCAAGAGACUGAGAAUGGCAGUCACUGAUUCUGUUCACCAAUAUUUCCAAUUCUGCUUCCAAGCAUUUGACAAGAUUAUACUUUCCUGCUGCCUUGAAGCUAGGUAUGACCACGUGACUACCUUGACCAAUGAAAUGUGAGCAAACGCAUACAAAAUCGGUGUUCAAUUCUACAACGUCGUCUUCUUCUGCGUAGGCGAGUGUGGAGACACCUAUUGAUCUCCAGGUGCACAGCGGAGUCAUUGAACGCUGCCUUGAAAAGCUGUGCAAACCAAGGCAGACCUUACAUGAGCAAGAAAGAAAUUUUGUUGUUUAACCCAAUGAGAGCUUGGCACUGAAGCCUAUUGUGACUGAUACACUUACCCAUUUUUACCUUCACUUUGGGGAAGGAUAAGGGAAUAGAGAUAAGGGAUAAGGGAAGUGGAGAGUGGAAUAUACGGAACUGAGGUAGAGAUGACUACCUGAGCCCAAAUAGCAACCCUACCAGUGACACAUCUUUAACCUAAAGCAUUGCCGCAAAAGGAUCCUAUGGAAACAAAACACAAAGAUACAUAAAUACUUCCCCAUUCAUAGUCAUUAAGACAUCAGGAUGCAUUUGCAGAUCUUUCCUAUAAAACGCAAAGGAAAGCAAUGUUGCCUUUCAGUUCAGAGUUGAGGAGCCGGGUUUCUAAGAAGGGAGGAUAUCAAAAGAAAAAGGAGAAGGAAUGGGGAAAAAAAUGAAAGGCAAAGCAGUGCAUCAUUGCAUAAAACUAACUUUUGAGCUGUUUUUCCAGUAAUUUUUUGUAGUCUCUUGUGGUGAAUGCACAGAAUUACAAAUGCCCGCUAAAAGAGAUAGUGGUGGUCAAUGCUUUAUUUAUUCCUUAAACAUUUAUUGAACAACUACUGAGAGCUACACAGCUCCAUACCACACUGUCAGGGUCUCUCCUACUGACUUUGGCCUCCUAUUUCAUAGCAAAGAAAUACAUCAGGUAAAAGUACGCGCUCUAAAGUGUUAAUGGCAACAUGGAACUUCAUCCCAGGCUGUCUCGAACAGUAUAAGUGAGUCUCCCAUUUCCGCUGGAUAUUUGCCAGUAGAUGUGGCGGUCCAGGGAGAUUCAGGAUGACCCCAGCUCCUCAAAUGGGGACGAAAGUAGGGGGAAAACAAUUCCACGAGAGGAAACUGGCUUUAGAAGGCAGAAUGACACGAGGCCACCAGAAAUGAUGAAUGCCACUCUAUCCUCAAAACUACUAACAAUGUCAAUCGUGAUAAAGGAUGACUUCUAUAUUUUACUUUUACUUCUUAAUUGUUUACGUUUUUCAAAAACAUGGACUGCCUUUGAUAUUAUGCAAGAGAAAAAAAUACUACAUUUUAAGUCACAUUAUCUUCUUUCAGCGCCAAUCGUUUUCAUCACUAAGAUUAUAGCCUAAGUUAAAAAGUCUCAAAUUCAGAGAAAGUCAAACCACUGGCUUGACAUCCUGAAAUUUGACCAUCUAUUUCAAAGUUAUUUGAAUGCCUCUGGCGAUAAUAUCCUUUAAAAAAAAGAUUCAAUGUCUUUUCUAAGCCGCAUCAAAUUACUUGCAGAAGAUGGGACACAAAUUAUGAAUAAAUCAAUCAAUAUUUGUUUC